UCCUUUGUCUUCUUGUCACAAAAAGAAUUUCGUCAGUCUGGAAGGGGAGUUUUACUUACGUAAAUGGAUGUAGACCAGACUCAAGCAUGUAAGAACUGUGUUAAUGUGGAUUUCUAAGCCUCUGAAUGAAUUUCUAAGGCACCUAACCUAUUGUUUCUGAAAAUAUUUACUUUAAGGUUACAAUCUUAAUCUAAAAGUGGUUCCUGCUUCAUAAUGCCUGUGGACAUGAAGCUAACAAAUCUUUUCAAAAUGUGUUCAUGUGGUAAUUCACUGCAGCACAGGAGCAAUAAUCAGCUAUGUGCAGGCAUCUAUGCUACUGUCUCUUAAAAUACUUUAAAAGUAAGGUUAGUUAUUGUCUAUUCGAGUCAGUUAGCUCUUACAAUUCAUUUGAUAGUGAUUAUCAGUACAAUAUAUUAGUUUGUUGGAGUGUGAGAAUAAUGGUGUUAAUCCUUAGAAAAAUGCAAGACCAAAGGGAAAUUUAAAUUUUGCAUAUUUAUGUUUAAUGUCAAAUUUAUAUUCAAAUAAACGGUUAUGAUUAUAACUCUUUGUAAAAGAAACUCCAUUUUAAGCCCCCCAGAUUAUGAUCACUUUCAAAUACAGGCUCAGAAGUAC
rnacentral:lncRNA from 10 species